rnacentral:rRNA from 1 species
GUCCUAGCCCUAAACGAUGGAUGCUUGGUGUGAUCGGUACCCAAUCCGAUCGUGCCGGAGCUAACGCGUUAAGCAUCCCGCCUGGGGAGUACGGUCGCAAUGCUGAAACUCAAAGGAAUUGACGUGGGCCCCGCACAAGCGGUGGAGCAUGUGGUUCAAUUCGACGCAACGCGAAGAACCUUACCUGGGCUCGAAGCGCAGUGGAUCGGGGUGGAAACACCCUUUCCCGCAAGGGCUGCUGCGUAGGUGCUGCAUGGCUGUCGU